rnacentral:miRNA from 1 species
CAGUACCAUUGCAGUCGUGUC